rnacentral:lncRNA from 1 species
GCCAAUUUUUAUAAUAUAAAGAUUAGAGAGAAUCAUUUCAAAUUUUCAAUGGCUGUCAUUUUUCGGCUUGUUAAGUUCUAUUUUAUGCAUACUUUUAAGCUAGAACAGUCUGUCUAAAAACUUGUUAUUCUAAGACACAGUAGCGGACACACUUAGGUUCAAAGCACAGGUUUUGCUUUCUUUUAAUUAUAAGUAUAAACACC